rnacentral:tRNA from 1 species
GCCGGGGUGGCCGAGCGGUCUAAGGCGGCGGGCUGCAGGGCGAUAGCUAAGCAGGGUUCACGGAUACCCGUUUUACCGCGGGUUCGAAUCCCGCCCCCGGCU